UACGUAGGGUGCGAGCGUGUCCGGAAUUAUUGGGCGUAAAGAGCUCGUAGGCGGUGUGUCACGUCGAUCGUGAAAACUUACAGCUUAACUGUGAGCGUGCGGUCGAUACGGGCAUCACUGGAGUUCGGCAGGGGAGACUGGAAUUCCUGGUGUAGCGGUGAAAUGCGCAGAUAUCAGGAAGAACACCCGUGGCGAAGGCGGCUCUCUGGGACGGUACUGACGCUGAGACGCGAAAGCGUGGGGAGCGAACAGG
rnacentral:rRNA from 1 species